rnacentral:lncRNA from 1 species
CUGUACAACUGCUCCACCUGCGAGGGCAAGGAGGAGUCUUGUUGGCCCCAAAAGCACUGCUACCCAGACAGUCACGAUCUGUGGGACGCUAGGAUUCUGCUCCUAUGUAUCUUCGGAAUUGUCCUGCUUUCGGGUGUUGUGAGCCUCCAAGUGGAGUACCUGAACCUGCAAGCAAAAGACUUGUGAAGAGGAGGACAGCUUUUCCAGCCCCAGCUCUAAGAAAUCUGUGCCCACAAUUUCCACAUCCCUUAGGGUGGGAACACUUUUUAGACCCAGCCCCAAAGCCUCAGUCUUUCAGACCCUAAACCUCAGACUUCUGCUAUCAAUAUUCGUGUCAGAUGGCCUCCAGGAACCCAAGCACCCACAGCUGGAAAGUCCCUCCCUUUCUGUGUUCCACCAAUCAAACAGAGCAGCAGAUGAUGCCAGGAAAUUAUCUACAGAAGGAAAGAAUCGCUUACCACCACCACUCCCACAUCCCCUCUGUCCAUUCCCGGAAAGCGGGGGACUGUUGGCCUGUAGAUGUUGCUCUAGGCCCUCCAAUGACUGAUCCGGAAUCCGGGAAUGAGGGUUCUGGAAAACUCUCUCCCUCUGGGGUGAGACCACAUCAGUCAACCCGCUGGCAUACAGUCCCUCCAUUGUAUUAAUAUUGUGCAGCCUGGACCUCCCCCUCCUUCUGGGCCUGUGUAAAUCUGCUGUGUGAUGCUUUCCAUUCCUGUCUGACUCCAUCUGCAACUUGGGCAGGCAGAUGGGAUGGGAAUUCUUAGGAAUUCUUGUUAGAGGUGCCCCCCCCCCAAU